AUGGUUUGAUCAUGGCUCAGAUUGAACGCUGGCGGUAUGCUUAACACAUGCAAGUCGAACGGAAACGAUGGUAGCUUGCUACCAGGCGUCAAGUGGCGGACGGGGGAGUAACGCGUAGGAAUCUGCCCAGUAGUGGGGGACAACCAGGGGAAACCCUGGCUAAUACCGCAUACACUCUACGGAGAAGGAGGCCUCUUCUUGAAAGCUUUCGCUAUUGGAUGAGCCUGCGUGAGAUUAGCUAGUUGGUAGGGUAAAGGCCUACCAAGGCGACGAUCUCUAGCUGGUCUGAGAGGACGAUCAGCCACACUGGGACUGAGACACGGCCCAGACUCCUACGGGAGGCAGCAGUGGGGAAUAUUGGACAAUGGGGGCAACCCUGAUCCAGCAAUACCGCGUGUGUGAAGAAGGCCUUAGGGUUGUAAAGCACUUUCGGCAGUGAAGAAAAGCUCAAGGCUAAUACCUUUGAGUCUUGACGUUAACUGCACAAGAAGCACCGGCUAACUCCGUGCCAGCAGCCGCGGUAAUACGGGGGGUGCAAGCGUUAAUCGGAAUUACUGGGCGUAAAGCGCACGUAGGCGGUUUAGUAAGUCGAAUGUGAAAGCCCUGGGCUCAACCUGGGAACUGCAUUCGAUACUGCUUAACUAGAGUAUGACAGAGGAAUGUGGAAUUCCGGGUGUAGCGGUGAAAUGCGUAGAUAUCCGGAGGAACACCAGUGGCGAAGGCGACAUUCUGGGUUAAUACUGACGCUGAGGUGCGAAAGCGUGGGGAGUAAACAGGAUUAGAUACCCUGGUAGUCCACGCCGUAAACGAUGUCAACUAGCCGUUGGGGGGGCUUGACCCUUUAGUGGCGCAGCUAACGCGUUAAGUUGACCGCCUGGGGAGUAUGCCGGUAAUGGUAAAACUCAAAGGAAUUGACGGGGGCCCGUACAAGCGGUGGAGCAUGUGGUUUAAUUCGAUGCAAUGUGAAGAACCUUACCUGCCCUUGACAUCCUCAGAACUUGUCAGAGAUGACUCGGUGCCUUCGGGAACUGAGAGACAGGUGCUGCAUGGCUGUCGUCAGCUCGUGUCGUGAGAUGUUGGGUUAAGUCCCGCAACGAGCGCAACCCUUAUCCUUAGUUACCAGCGAGUUAAGUCGGGACUCUAAGGAGACUGCCGGUGACAAACCGGAGGAAGGUGGGGACGACGUCAAGUCAUCAUGGCCCUUAUGGGCAGGGCUACACACGUGCUACAAUGGUCGGUACAGAGGGUUGCCAAGCCGCGAGGUGGAGCUAAUCCCAGAAAGCCGAUCUUAGUCCGGAUUGCAGUCUGCAACUCGACUGCAUGAAGUCGGAAUCGCUAGUAAUCGCGAAUCAGAACGUCGCGGUGAAUACGUUCCCGGGCCUUGUACACACCGCCCGUCACACCAUGGGAGUGGGUUGCAAAAGAAGUGGGUAGACUAACCUUCGGGAGGUCGCUCACCACUUUGUGAUUCAUGACUGGGGUGAAGUCGUAACAAGGUA
rnacentral:rRNA from 1 species